rnacentral:rRNA from 1 species
UACAGAGGGUGCGAGCGUUGUCCGGAAUCACUGGGCGUAAAGGGCGCGUAGGUGGCUUGCCAAGCGUGUGGUGAAAGCCCGGAGCUCAACUCCGGGUCUGCCAUGCGAACUGGCAGGCUAGAGCACGGUAGAGGCCAAUGGAAUUCCGGGUGUAGCGGUGGAAUGCGUAGAGAUCCGGAGGAAUACCAGAGGCGAAGGCGGCACCCUGGGUCUGACCUGACACUGAUCCGCGACAGCAUGGGGAGCGAACGGG